rnacentral:ncRNA from 2 species
GCACUGAACUUUGAGCCUACUUGUGUAGGAUAGGUGGGAGGCUUUGAAACUGUGACGCCAGUUGCAGUGGAGCCAUCCUUGAAAUACCACCCUGGUAUGUUUGAGGUUCUAACCCAGGUCCGUUAUCCGGAUCGGGGACAGUGUAUGGUGGGUAGUUUGACUGGGGCGGUCUCCUCCCAAAGAGUAACGGAGGAGUACGAAGGUGCACUCAGCAUGGUCGGAAAUCAUGCAAUGAGCAUAAUGGUAUAAGUGCGCUUGACUGCGAGACAGACAUGUCGAGCAGGUACGAAAGUAG